GCCACGGUGAGCACGGGUUUCGGGAUAAUGUUCUGGGUGUAUCGCUAUUUACGAGGAAAAGAAUACACACGGCUACCCAUGUCCUAAAUCAUAAUGUAUCGGUUAUGCAAGAAAAUUCGUUUGGAGUGUUUCCGGUUAUGAGUUAAAAGAGAACAACACGCCGCUUCGACAGAUGGAAAGAACUCAGCACAGGUGUGAAUAUAAAGGAUGCGACAAAGUUUACCAUCAAUUAAAAGGGGAAACGGACUUUGCAUAUGAAAAUUCAACAUAGCUUUAUUGACAUCGGUCACUUACUCGUUUUGCUUUUGUUGUUUUCGUUUGGUAUUUAACAUUAAAGAGAGAUUACUUGAG